rnacentral:lncRNA from 1 species
UGAACAUAAUUGGAUGAGGCUGCUGUCCUGUUUUACGCCUACCCAAAUUCAGUCUGAUUUCAGGACUAGACUGAGUGUGGCUGCAAGCCAAUGCUGGAGUUUCUGCUUUCAACAGAGCUGUGAGUUUGUCCAUGCUUUUUCUGUGUCAUCUUUCUUAUUAUAUAAACCUGCAAUAUCUGCUAUUUUUGGGUUAAGCAUCUAGAGCUCAUCGAACUUAAAUCUGCCUUUUCCGAGUGUCUUUGCUCUAUUUCUUCACCACUUGCCUUAUUGUAUAUCUGUUAUCUAGUUUGGUUCUGAUCUUGAUGCUGAAAAAAUUCAGAUGCUCUUUGUUGAAAAUUAAUAAUCUAAAUUCUCUACAUGUUUUUGUGAUGACAUGCUUAUGGAUUUUGUGACACAAUUGCGUGGACUCCUCUUUUUCCGUUUGUGUGAAAGUUAGAUAGAGAUUUAGUCUAGUGUGUCAAGUUUUGAGUUUAUAAAUACUAAUGCAGAAAGAAAACCUUUUUGUUUAACUGUUUCUUGGUUCUCAGCUUGGAGGACAAUCUUAAGUAAAAGGUAUUAUACGUAUAAAUAUUUUUAGAAGCAUCCGAAAAAUUUUGUUGACCAAUUGAGUAGAUUUAAAAAAAUAGCAGUAGAUGCUGCAACAGGAGCUGUACCGUACAUCCGCCUUGGCCGUACAGCAGAAUUAAUUCUAUACAUCCAAUGAAAUUGAAAUUUUUUUUGUUCUUAUGCUAUUUUUAAGUUUGAAUUAUCUUUAUGUUUCUCAAAAUUACUGUAUUUUUCUCAUUUAUAGAAAGAAACUUGUAUGACUUUGAAUGUUUGUAGGUGAACAUAAUUGGAUGAGGCUGCUGUCCUGUUUUACGCCUACCCAAAUUCAGUCUGAUUUCAGGACUAGACUGAGUGUGGCUGCAAGCCAAUGCUGGAGUUUCUGCUUUCAACAGAGCUGUGAGUUUGUCCAUGCUUUUUCUGUGUCAUCUUUCUUAUUAUAUAAACCUGCAAUAUCUGCUAUUUUUGGGUUAAGCAUCUAGAGCUCAUCGAACUUAAAUCUGCCUUUUCCGAGUGUCUUUGCUCUAUUUCUUCACCACUUGCCUUAUUGUAUAUCUGUUAUCUAGUUUGGUUCUGAUCUUGAUGCUGAAAAAAUUCAGAUGCUCUUUGUUGAAAAUUAAUAAUCUAAAUUCUCUACAUGUUUUUGUGAUGACAUGCUUAUGGAUUUUGUGACACAAUUGCGUGGACUCCUCUUUUUCCGUUUGUGUGAAAGUUAGA